rnacentral:misc_RNA from 1 species
UGUCAUUUCCUUCCUCUGUUGGGAGCCACACACUGAGGCAGUUGAAUUAGUAACAUAUCAUGCAGUGAGUUAGUUACACUACAAAUCUACUUAAAAAAUGCAGAAAGGUCUUGAAAAUCUUCAUAAUACUAGAAAUACUAUAUUGGCUUAAAGUCUGCAAAAAGAGGUGAAAUUUAUGGGAGCAAUUUUACUAGCAUUUAGUAGGCAGCAAAAAAAAAAAAAUUAAAAAGGGCAAUAUAAUUUAAUAGUUACAGUAUAAACAAAACACUGAUUCUCAAGGAUAUGACUACAAAUUAGUGUGUAAGUGUAUAUAUAAUCUGAUUGUUUCGGUUUUCCUUGGUUAUUUCUCAGAUUUACUCAUCAAAACUUCAUAAAAUAAGCUAAAUGUUGGUUGCAUGAAUGAUUUUGUGGAUUUUAAUGAAAGGAUGGGUUUCAAUGUAGCCUCAAGUUAGACCACCCAUCUACUCAGGUUAUAUUGGGAUAAAGCCAUAAUUGGUCAAUUUUUUUUUAUAAAUUUGACGCAUUGAAUUUGUAUUAAAAGAAAAAACAUCCCUAUAAGCAAAAAAAUUAAACAUGAUUAAAUUUUCUUUUCAUUAUUUCUAGUGGGGUCAAUACAGAGAAAAAUCCAAAAGUAGUAGUUGCACCCAGCCGUUUGACAAAACUAUAUAAAGCAAUGUUUUAAAUACGAAUAAUCAAUAGAAAAGUGCGCGUGACAUCACCUUCAAUUUGGCCUUCCUGCUAGCAUCCAGAUGUUAGAUUCAUUCAGAUAUUAAACUUUCCCUUUUUUUCCCGUAAGUUACGUCAAAAUUUCAAAACCGUAAGGAUCAAUUGUAUUCUAUAAUAUUAAUAGCAUUAGCAUUUAGUACUGUCCUUGCUUGACUAUCCGUCACCUUGAAAUUUAAGGCACCGUGAAAGCAAAAGCAGGCAGAAAAUUAUGCAACACGAAAAACUCGAGUUAGGUGGAAGAAAGCAAAAUAAAUCAAAUUCCAGCAACAACCCAAAACCAGUAAAAGCAUUGAAUCACUGCUGUAGCCUCCAAUAUGUGAAUAAAAUCCACGUUGGAUCUUUUUUUUUAUAUACUUCUGAUAAAGCAAUCAGCAAACAGCCAACAUUGGCAGCUGCUCCACCCCACAACAUGCAUAACUAAGUCAAAGCUUCUAAUCCUAACGUUAAGGAAUGGGGAAGAAAUCUCAUCGUUCCAUAUCCAACCUACCCAAGAAGCUGAGGCAGCAAUACACUUGUACCAGAUUACCUGGUGCGAUCAGACAAAAAAAAGAUUAUCAGGUGUGAACAGAAGACCAUUUCACACCCUUUUAGAAAAUGACAUGAAUGAAGAUAACAAUAACAACAGCAGGAAUUUAAAAUCAUGAUUUUGAAAAUAAAUGUCAUUUAUUUCUAACUUGUGGCUUUUGGUAUAUCCUCCAACCAUGGGAUCGAGAACAAUGACAUUUAACCUUAAAAUUUGAAUAAGGAUGAAGCAGUGUCUGCAAAGUAGGAAAAUUAAUGUCCAUGAAUUCAGAGAGAACUAUGCAAACAGAAAACCUCUGCAAAUCAAAACCAACCUUUUCCAACUUUUCUCAAUGGCUGAUGCUGUAAGAUUGAUCCUUCUUAUAUAUUUCCAUUUGUCCAUCAUUUCCUUCAACUUAGCUCAAGAUGUAGACCAAUUCGUCUAUAAUGGCUUCCUGGGAGCUAACCUCCAUCUUGAUGGAAUUGCAGAAAUCCAUCCCAAUGGGCUGUUGCAGCUAACCAAUACUUCAAAGCAGAAAAUGGGUCAUGCCUUCUAUCGGUUACCUCUGAAAUUCAGUUCAAAUUCAGCCAGUUCAUCUGAAUCUAUGUCAUUUUCCACUAUCUUCGUGUUUGUCAUGGUUCCUGAGAUGCAAAAUCUUAGUGGCCACGGCAUAGCGUUCACUAUCUCACCAUCCUUGGACUUCAGCCUUGCUGUAGCAAGUCAGUAUUUGGGACUCCUCAACACUUCAAACGAUGGUCUUUCUACCAACCACAUUUUAGCAGUUGAACUUGAUACCAUUCGUAGCCCCGACGUUCAAGACGCAAAUGAAAACCAUGUGGGAAUUGAUGUGAACAGCCUGAAUUCUAUUGAAUCAGCUUCAGCAACUUAUUUUUCCAAUACAGAAGGGAAAAAUAGGAGCUUGAAUCUCGUUAGUGGAGAUCCCAUACAGGUUUGGAUAGACUAUAAUGAAACAGAAACAUUACUCAAUGUGACUCUAGCUCCAAUUAGUAGCCCAAAACCAAACCAACUGCUCUUGUCAACAUCCAUCAAUCUUUCUGAAAUUCUUCUGGAAUCCAUGUAUGUUGGUUUUUCUGCAGCAACUGGAACACUUGCAAGUGACCACUAUAUUCUAGGAUGGAGCUUCAACAAAGCUGGAAGAGCACAAAGCCUUGAUAUUUCAAAGCUUCCUUCGCUUCCUCCACGUAGGAAAGCAGAAAAGAAACCGGGAGUGAUGAUUAUAGUUAUACUUGCAACAGUAAUAGCUGUUCUUAUAACAAUAACUGUAGGUAUUUACAUUGUAAGGAGGAAGAAAUAUGAGGAAAUACGUGAAGAUUGGGAAAGGGAAUAUGGCCCUCAAAGAUUCUCCUAUAAGAAUCUCUACAAAGCAACCAAAGGCUUUAAAGACAAGGAGCUACUUGGAGCAGGAGGUUUUGGAAAGGUUUAUAAAGGAGUACUCCCUUCUUCAAAUUUACAAGUUGCAGUGAAGAAAGUCUCACAUGAUUCAAAACAAGGGAUGAAGGAAUUUGUUGCUGAGAUUGUCAGCAUUGGAAGGCUGAGGCACAGGAACCUGGUGCAACUCCUUGGCUACUGCAGGCGACAGGGGGAGCUUCUGUUGGUCUAUGAUUACAUGCCUAAUGGAAGCCUUGACAAGUUUUUGUUUACCAACGAAAAACCAGUCCUCAAUUGGUCUCAAAGAUUUCAAAUCCUCAAAGGAGUGGCAUCUGGCCUUCUUUACCUCCAUGAGGAGUG